GAGGGUAUAGCUCAGUGGUAGAGUGCAAGCCUAGCAUGCACAAGGUCCUGGGUUCAAUCCCAGUACCUUCA
rfam:Camelus ferus unplaced genomic scaffold scaffold386, whole genome shotgun sequence.